AGUGGUAUCAUCGCAAAGUACAGUCCCAUCGUUAGUGUGAAGUUUUAGAACAGUGAACCAGCACUUCGCGCAGAUUGUGCGAAAAAGAGAACCAAUGGAAACGAAAGAUAAUUGUAACAUUACUAAAAUUAGUAAAAUUCUUGUAAUAAGCGAUACGUAUCUAUGGCAAAUAUAAACCGA